GUGGAGUACUGUUGCAACGGUAAGCAUACGCUCCCGGAAAGAGUGAGAUCUGGGUUCGAAUCCCGGCUGACGCA